UCCUACGGGGGGCAGCAGUGGGGAAUAUUGCACAAUGGGGGAAACCCUGAUGCAGCAACGCCGCGUGAGUGAAGAAGUAUUUCGAUAUGUAAAGCUCUAUCAGCAGGGAAGAAGAUGACGGUACCUGAUUAAGAAGCCCCGGCUAACUACGUGCCAGCAGCCGCGGUAAUACGUAGGGGGCAAGCGUUAUCCGGAUUUACUGGGUGUAAAGGGAGCGUAGACGGCAUAGCAAGUCUGAAGUGAAAGCCCAAGGCUCAACCAUG
rnacentral:rRNA from 1 species